GCAGGACCUAGGGAAAUGUUAAAGAUUGUGAUCUAAGAGGACUCCUUUUUGUUAAUAUAACAAACUAACAUUCAUUUCAUGUGAAUGAACAAACAGUAUUUUCAUUGUUUUUUGAACAUUAUUUUAGUGUUGUACUUUUUCUGCUGUGUCAAUGAGUGUUAAAAUAAUUGUUCCUUUAAUAUAUAGAGCUUAGAGCUUUAUUACUGAUUUUCAGAUGGUGGCUGGGGGCAAAAAACCAGAGAUGAUCCAGCUGAGAAAUCUCACUAGUAAUGAAAAGCAAGCAUCUUUAACACAGUCAGUUUUCCUGACAGUUUUCCCCACUCAAGUAUACAAUGAUUUAUUUAUCCUACAAAUGCUGAGGGCAGGGCAUAGAAAACUAAAAAGGACAAAACUAAAAUCUUUAUUUUCUUAAAAAUGAAACAGAAAGUCAGUAAAAAGAAUGCAAAAACUCCAAGAUGAAGCUCUAAAACCUGUCUUUUAGCAGCAACAGAGACACACUAGUAGUUUUUCUAGUUAGCCUUUCUGCACUGUCACACACUUAACUGCUUGCUGUUCUAUUUAUCUCAGUUAUCAAAGGUGAAAUGCCCGUGAGCAGGUAUUGGAAGUAUUUCUUGUCAUUUUUCUCUUCCCCGAUGCUAAUUAUCUUGUCAUUUGGUACUAACUGAAAAGACAAAAUGCCCAUUCUUUCUUUCCCAGAGGAAGGCUCUGGCUGAUGGGUUACUCACGAUGAAACUGCGGGCUGUACGCAGGCUGUGGUUGGGAUAGCACAGCUCAGAGCUGGCUGCCAGGCAGGCUAGUGAAGGCCACGCUCAUAUAUCGAGCAGCCAGACCAGCCUUUCAAGUCAAGUGUUGGCUUGUAGACACAUCAGUUAAUCAGCUAUGAAAUCACCACCACAAUGUACUUAUUGAUCACACAGGGCUAAUGACGCAACUCUUGGCCUGGAGAGGAUGUGUGCUUCAUUCUCUCAGCUUCCAACCUUCAGAGAAAGAGCACUUUGAGUAGUGUUUAUGAAAGGCAGAUACUAACUGUGAUCUGAACCUUCCUGGGGAGCUGGGCCACAGACAGCCUUCCCGUGCGGCCCAUUCACACUCACUGCUCUCAAAGAACUAGAUGGUAUUUGCACUACACUGCAUCUUGGAGGAAAGUUUUCAGAAGGCCUCCAACUGUCAGGAUUCAAACUAAAUUUUAGUUCAAUUUCUCUAGAUUUUAGUAUUUCUUUGAAAUCUUAGGGAAUGCUGAUCAUUUUAUGAAUGAAUGUUAUCAUAGAGAAUCAAGAAAGUUAAAAAUCAGUAUUUUUUAAGGCAGGCAAUUUUGAAGUAGGUGUCUACUUGCCUCUGGACCAUUGCCACACUUUUACUGCUCCUUCGAGUGAAGCAGCAGAUACGCAUGGUAAUCACACUGCAUACACUACUGUUUCCAUAAACUUCCUUCUGAUGCUGGAGAGGAAAAACAAAAGGUAGGUGAGAGUAACAAAAGGCUGCCAGGCCUGCUCUGAGGGUCUCCAAGGUAGGCCACGGGACUGUCAGAGCACAAGCCUGGUUGCCUUUCCAACUGACUGGCUCCAAUAUUCUGUCCCCUAGAAUGGAUCUGCUAAGCUGGAGUAACAAAGAAUGAAUUUGAUUCUGAGUGCAGUAAGAGGAUUGCACAUAAGCCAGUGAAUUAAGUCUUAAAUAUAACAACUUCCAGUAAAUCGAUUCUUCAAAGACACGGACAUAGAGCCCCAGAGUCUCCCUGAGAGUAAGAAAUCUGACUGUCUAGUGAGAAACGCUCCCUUCAGGGUAGUCCCCUUGCUCUCAGGCUGGGUUGCAGACUGUGCACAGACAGUGUGAGAACAAGCAAAUUCAACUGAGUGACAGCACCACAAUUGUUCCUUCCUUUCUAUUUUCUUUCACAUAGGUUGUCCUGUGUGUAACGAGCUCCAGGAGAAACAGAAAUUAAAAAAAAAGAAGUAGAAGAAUGAAUUGUAUUCCUACUAGUAUAAUGGACUGCGUGUUUGCUUAGGGGUAUACAAUGUGGGUGACAAGACAUCCCAGUUGGCACCAUGGUAGCUCCAAGAUCUGCAAGGCAGUGGGAACCAGUUUUGCCUUCAGGACACAUUACUGUCUCCCACUCAGUUUUAGUUUGGAACUUUGCUAGAACUAUCAUGGAAAGGGGCAGAGACUGACCAUUUGCUUCGAAAUAUACACAUUGCCCAUUGCUGCACGGCUUAGAGAGAGGCACACUAGGAGCUGACGGCGACACCUGCUGGUGCUGCCCCUGCAACCCUCUGCCAAUUGGAGGCUCUUAAGAGCCAACAAGAAAGGACAGGUACUCUAGUCCUAAGGAUUCCCUCGCUCUACUUGGAGCAUAGCUGCUCGGACUGGAGUUUAAGAGGUAAGAAAAUGUGUUGAUUUGUUUGAGAUAAUCUGGAUCUCAGCAAUAAAAGCAGUGUAGGCUGCUUAGGAAGCUUUUCUGUAAUCACGAAUGUACUUUUGUACCAGAUAGAAGGUACUCUUUACACCUGUAAAAAGUCUUGGGCGAGGAAAUGUGAAAACAUGAACUCAAAACAAACUGUGGGUCUGGGGAGAUGGCUUAUUUGGUAAAGUACUUGCCAUGCAGGCAUAAGUACCUGAGCCCUUUUUCUGGCACCAACAUGAAAAGCUAGGAAUGGUGGCAUGUGCUUGUAAUACAAAUGCUAGGGGUGGGAGCAGGAAACUUCGGGAUCCCCAAGGCUCACUGGUAGCUAACUAGUGAGCUCUGGGUUCAGAGAGAGACUGCCUCAGAAAGACAGUCCCUGUGCAAAGCCACCCAAUGUUGAUCUCUGUACUUAACAACCCUCAGGGGGGAAGAAGAACCUAAAACUUGUAGAAGAGGUGUGAGCUGAGAUGUGUUCAUUUAUUCAAAUGCAGUACUUUUAUAGGGAAAUGGAUGGACACGAAGGACACUCUCCUCAUUGUUGUAGGAAGAACUCAGCUACACUUGUCCUCAGGUGGGCUGGUUUGCUUUAUACUAGUUCUUUCACUUCAACUCUGAUUUUCUUACAGGUUAGAGGGUUUUAGCUAUCCCAUCCAAUAAUACAUGUAGAGCACUUUGUGAUCUGCCACAUGUUAUUGCUAUUAUAAAUGAUAAUAUUAUUGGAGAGAAUUCCUGGGUUAUUAUCUGAGAGAUCAGUAUUCCAUAAUGAUCCUCAAGAUAUGAUGUGAUAAUUCCCUGGGAUAUUAUCAAAUCAAACAUAGAAACACAGUACUUUUCAGAGUGCUAAUUCUUUUAAAAUGCAUUUUAGAACAGAAUCUGGACCUUCAACAUCUCAUCCUUAGGAAUUUCUGACUCCUUGCUCCAAAUGGGUAAGAUAGCAGCAAAAGACGGAGAUAGAAUGUGCCUCAGCUGGACCUCCCUUGAAUUCUUCUCUGAGCUGCCACUUCUCCAUAGUCCCCGGACUGACCUCUGAGUCAAGCCAGAUGGGACUGAGAGAGACGUCAACCACUGAGGAUGGCUGUGCUGGGACCUGUUCUCUGCUCUUCCUAAAAGGACAAGAGUGCCAAAACAGUACUGCAUUCCUUAAAGAGGGAAUAAAGGAUCGAGUUAGACUGGCCUUCUCAACACCUCCUGAAAGGCCCCCUUGGGUCUCAUUUUGCUGGGAUGACUAUUUAUAUGACAGGUAAGGGAAUAAUUUUGCGGGAUUCUGUUACACUAGGGCCUCUGUGACCCCUGGGUCAAAAGAGCAAAUGCAAAAGUGACAAUGUGGGUAAUUGCCUGUUUAGGAUAAUGGAAUACUGAUUGAAGUCAAUUAUUAUAACACCUGAAAGAUAAAUGAGCUGAUGUGAAAGGUUCAGGGGAGAUGGCUGUGGAGUGAACCAGCAGGCAGCACACAGAGGGUGGCGAACAACUGUGGAAUGCAGAGGGGGCAGGCUUCCUGACCUAGAGCUCACUCCAGCCUGGAGCAGGCCGAGAUCUAACGCAGGUUAGUUUGUAAAACAUGCCGUAAAACAGAAAUUCAGCCCAAUGCCCCAAACUGCAGGAUUAGAGUAACAUUAGUUAAUGUGGCCCUCCAUUAAUUUUCACCAUAACCUCUGAAGGCCUAGACUUGCCCCAAAUCCAUUAGUUUUGUCUGUCACUGGAGGGAACUUUCCCUUCCUGACAGCCAGGAAAAAGCCUGCUGAAGUAGGCAGCCCAGACCAUUGUCAGCCUAGGUUCUACCAGUUCCACACUUGGAACUCCGCUAUUUGAGUUUUCUUUUCUUUCUUUUUCCCCCUUCAUGGCAGAAAAAAGUCUCAAAUGUUUUCCCAACCUCAGCACCCCUGUUACCCUCCCAGUUUUGGUUUCUUAUUGCCAGAGCCUGGCCCUUCAAAGGCCUGCAGUCACCUCAGGGAACUGGCACUGCCUCCCUGGCCUGGUGAGGUAGGGGAGUGAGGAGCGGUGCUCACAGGAUCUCAGAGUCUGUUUCCAAAUGAGAGCAGAGGUGGUCACUGCUGUCUACCCUACAACCGGGUCGCAGGACAGCCUUUCUAACAGCUCAUGCCACAGGUUUUCUAUUUAGAAUCCAAAAUGCUCUUUGCUGGGAAAGUUCAGAGACAAGUGUCUAAGCACUAGAAGUUUUCUCUGAGGCCUAAGCCUUUUAACCAAUCCUGUUGACACCGAAUGCUGAUAAGGACAACCAGCCUGCUUAUGGAGUGCAAGUGUCCUUGUGGCUGCCAGAUGACCUCCUUCAGGCUAGAGUUCACUCUGGGAGUUAAAAGCCUGGGAUUUAGCUUAGCCUCUUUUUCUAGUUUCUCUUCUAAACUGACCACAGAUAAAGGUAGCUUUUAGUUAACUGGAACUGUGUGUGACUUGAAACAUUUCUAGAAAUGAAGACUUUGGUCUUGACUGAGUCUUCAGUUUCCCAGGAGAGAUGAUGUAGCUGACUUCCGCUGACACUCUCAUCUUAUGCACACAUCUGUGUGAAAAGGAAUGUCUCUGACAGGAAAUGCCCAGAAAAUGUUCUUUUGUUGUCUGCUCUCAGAAGAACCGUAUCUAUGGAGGGGCUGAGGAAAUUCACAAAUCUUCCUCUAAAAGACAUAUAAUAAAAACACUAGUCAAAUUAAAUUUUUUUUUAAUUUGUAAAGGGUUACAAAUUUAAUUAAAUUCUCAUUGCUUGAAACUACAGAGGAGUCAGAACUGGAUCAUUAACAGACACAUCAGCUGGGUACCAAAGUUGCUGAAAAGGAACUAAACAAACAAGCAAAAGAAGGAAAAGAGGUAACCAAUGACAAGCACAUGGUUUCCCAGCUAGGGUUUGGGAUUAGGAGUGGGUCUCCUACAGAGCAUUCUCUAGCCCUGCCAAGCGCUCUAGUCUCAAGUCCUUCCGGAGGUCCCUUGUGCUGACUCUGGUUCUGGGUCAAGUGACAAAGCUCAGUGUGUGCUCAGUUGCAGCUGAUAAACCCUCCUAGUUGUUUUUCCUCUGUAGACUGGGUUCCUGGUGCUGUGUUACUGAGGCCUUGGAAGAGCUGCCCUGUUUUGCAGUAUGGGCUGAUUUUGUUCUACCUCCCACCUUUCCCCUAGAGGUACUGCCCAAUGGGUCCAGCGCUGUGCCUAGAGGCCAACUCUAGGACAGGCUCCCUCUACUGUUUCAGGUCAACUUUUAUCCUGGGAUAAUGUCCCCUGGUCCCCUCAUGUAAAUCACUUGGUGGCUCUUCCACAAGGAUCUCAGCCUACUGAAUUGUCAAGGAAUAACAUCCUGCUGUGAUCCUUCUCAGGAAUGAACCCUGCUGGUUAGAGCUUCCUUUCCUUUCAACUUAGUACUCAAGAUGAGUCACCAGAUUCAAAUAUUCUUAAUGGUCCUGGGGCCUUUUUACAAUUUUAGGUUGUAGGAAUAAUAAUUUAAGAGGGGUACAAUCCUUUCAAGCUAAUUUCCCCCCUCAAAAGUUGAUUUUCAGAGAAUCCCAGCUGUCCUGAAAUACUGAUGAGCGCAGUGUAAUAGGCUAACUUCAAACAGGAAUCCCAGUCCCUGGGCCUAGCUGCCAAGUUCAACAGACUGCACAGCAACGGGGCUGUUGUGCUUGGAUCAAGAGGAUCUGAGUCUUGAGGCAGCCUUGAAACACCAUGGAUUUUAUUAUGAGUAAAAUUAAUUCAAUGGAAUUCUAUUGAAACUUCAAGGGUCGGGAGAGAACUCAGUCUCUUUAGUCCGCACACAGGAUUUGACCUGAUUCUCUCAUUAACUUCCUCAACUCCAAUAUAGCCCCAAAGACUUAUUUAUUAUUAUUAAAGCAAGACAAGAAAAUAAAGCACUGGCCAGCUCCACACCUAACCUAGGUGAAUACUGAGAAACAUUUUCCCUAGUUCUUAGUAAAAGUCAAACUUUGAGAACAUUAAUUUUUUUUCCUUUAUAGCAAACUUAUUUACUAUCUCAUCAGAGGUCACCAAAAGCCCAGAACCUUAAUCUCCUAAUAGUUUCUUUUAAGUUCCUGACUUUUAUUGGUCCUAACAAUUAUUCUAAAUUUAGUUUUUUAUUGGCUAGGACCAAUAAAAAUCCACAUUUAGAGUAAAUGGGACCACAUCAAACACUAUUUUUGCAUCACCCACAGGGGGAUGAAAGGUCUUCACCAGGAGACUCUGGACAGAAAUGCUUCAAGGUUUCAUGUCUGAAUCUUAGAGCUUGCUCAGUCUAAAUCUUGGCAAAAGCACAUAUCAGAAAUUAUUAGGAAGGGAUAAAAAGGCUAGACGACAACUUAGAUCAUACGAAAACGAAUGCUUACGGAACACUUUCACUAAAUUCCUACAGUGUGGCUGGUGCACCCCACCCACAAGAUAUUUUACUGUCUUCAGUGCAAGCCUUUGAGAGGUAUUAUUACAUCCCUCAGAAAGAACAAAAUGGAAGUGACUGGGAAGCUGAAUUUUAAACAGCUUACAAGAGGACUUGCCUUUUCUGUGUGAGGUCUUCCUCCUGAGUAUGCACGGGGCUGGAAAUGCUGAUGUUUGGGUUGACUAUACACCUAGGCAAACCUCAGAGCCUGCACACUCCCUGAGGAUGAUGAAAUGCUUUGUCUCCCUAAUGCUCAACUCAAUGAAUACCAGAUGAACACUAAGUCAGGAAGUCAAAGACGCCAAAGGAGGGAUGGUGCUCUUGCUUCUUAGACUAUAAAAUGUGAAUAAAAUAAUAAAGUGCAUUUUGCACUUACUCACCAUGUCUUGGGAAGAGCUGUUUUACAACGAAAAUGACCAUGCUACUGAACUAGAUUGGAAGCUGAAGAGUCAGCUCAUGGAUAAGAGCACUGACUGCUCUUCCAGAGGACUCAAAGGUGAUUCUCCGAAGGCACAUGGCAGCUGUUAAACAUCUGGAGCUCCACUUCCAGGGUAUUCAAGGCCCUUUUCGCCUCCAUGGGCUAUAGGCUUACAAUGGGGCACAAACACACAUGCAGGCAAAACAUUCAUAAACAUAAGAUAAAAACAAAUCUUUUUAAAAAGUAGGUAAUUUGCAAAGAGCACAAGUAGAGAGAUUUUGAAAACAUUGGUACAGGCUAUCUGACAAUGCAAUUUACUUCAACCUACGGACGAGCUCAGAUUCAUACCUCAAAGGGUCACGGGCUGUCUGGUGAUUUGUGAGAUAGGCUGGGUUGUUAGGAUUUGGAAACCUUUAAUCUACACACUUGGGAGGCAGAAGCAGGUGGAUUUCUGAGUUUUCUGUGGCUAGCCUAGUCCAUAGAGUGAGUUACAAGAUAGCCUGAGUUACAUAGAAAACCCAGUCUUAAAAACAAAAAUAAAAACAAAACCCAACAAUAAAACAAGCAAAUAAAACAAGAACAAGAAAACAAAAUCAAAAUCCAAACAAUGACAAGAUAAAUCUGUUGUACUAAAAGGCAGAUUUUUCUUCUUUUUUCUUUCUCUUUUGGUUUUGGUGGUGCUAGGGAUCAAACACAGGUUCUCACUCCUGAAAGGCAAGAGCCUCAUUACCAGCCCCUAAAAUGUAUACUUUGUAUGUUAUUGGUGGGCUAAACAAAACAUCUGUAAAUGUUCCCAAUCCCUCUCUCGCCGUGAUGGCCAGGAUGCUGCAUGCCUUCCUGCUCCCAGGUGUAUCAGGUGUUGAGAGCAGAGCAGAGCAGAGCAGAGACCUGUGUCAGAACAGACAAAAGGCCUGCAGAUCUGCCUGAGGUCAGAGGCAAGUCUAGGGCAGAGAAGGCUUAAAAUCAUUAAACUAUGAGAGGCUUCUCAGGAGGUAGAGUGCUGAAGAGGAACUCUUGGACACAAGGCUCUAUCCUGUGUCUGAGACCCUUUGUCACCUCUUCUAGAGAACACAGAAUAAAAUGACUCAAUGCGCCCAGAGAACUAGACUCAGGCCUCAUUUGCAUGGGAUCUUGACUAAGACACAGAGCAGCUGGGCACUCAUGUACUACAUGGAACACAGAGUUUAUUCUUCGACUUGCUACAAAUACAUCUUUGCAGAUGUCAGCAAUGAACCAACACAAACUUAAACGGAAAUUCCCUUUGAAAGUUGAUAUUCAGAAGACAUUGGGCACGUUCAGGGUGGUAAGGUAGUAGACAAACACCACUAUUCUGAAAGCACUAAAAGAGACAAGGUUUCCAUAGUAUGUUUGGUAUUAUUUUACCAAUAAUUGAUCUCUUAUAAAGAAAGAAACAGCACAAAGGAUGGCUUUGCAGUCUCAUGGUGCAAGGAAGGAAAUAAGAAUGUGCCAGAUAAAGCUGCAGUGGCCUCUCUUAAGUCCUAAAGCAUCAACCCUUCGUUUCCUAGCAGGAAGCUAUAUUGGACAAGCAGGAUUAAGGAUAUAACACAUGAAGCUCCUUCCUUGGCUAUAACAAAUCCAGAUGGUUCAUAAUUGAAAAAUAAGAUUGAAUAAUGUUUUUUAUUUGUACUUUUAAUAAAUCUUGAGCAUGAAAUUAAAAAGAAAGAAACCAAGAACUACAGUUAGUGAGCUAAGAAAAAUGCUGACAAGUAGCAAGAUGAAAUAAUUUUAUCAGAUGAGUCAUAAGUUACAUAAAAGUGGAUACCAUUAUGCUAUCCACUAUGUACAAUUUUUUUCCUGAAAAAUAGCACAAAAAAACUAUGCUAAGAUAUACUAUAAGGCAACAACUUAUCCUGGAAAAACAGAUUUUUAAGGAAAUGGCUUGGUAUCAUUACAGAGCAGCUUUUGAAAUUGUAGAUCAUGAUUCCAUGAGCAGUUGUGUGAUGAAUGUGGAGGUCACAAAAAUUUGAGCAACAUCAGAAAUUUUCUGAACAGCCAACAAGCAAAAUCAAAUAAAUUAAAAAAUCCAAUGUGUAAUGAAUCCAUGGUGUCUCUGGCAAUGCCCACCUGUGAUGCAUUAUGCAACUUCACAGGAGCACUGUGGACUCUGCACACUUUCAUGCCACUCAGCCAGUGAACACUUCCUGAGACACCUCAGCACAGAUUUGUACAUUUUAUAGAAAUGGUUCAUGAAAAAGAUCUGUAUUACUUUCUUACUCUCAUUCUUCAGAAAGAAGUCUGAAGUCAGCACAUCUUUAGAUUGUACUGUUAGAAAGUUUAAGUUAUUGACUUGUCUUUUAUAAAAAAUUGUUACAUAAAUUUGGCAUGGGAUUAUGACAAACUUUCAAAUAACUUCUGAAAUGUUCUCAAAUCUAUUUUUGACAUUUAUUAAUACAGCUUUAUAGGACAUAGUAUUUUCAGUCCUGGCCAUUAUAAAAUCAGAAUACUAAUCACCCUGAAGACCACUGAAGAUGCUGUGUCCUAUAGUGUCAAAUAUCCAGCCUUAAGACUUACUUCCCUUUCUUGUUUUUUGUUUUUUAAGACAGGGAUUCUCUGUAUAACAGCUCUGGUUGUUCUAUAUAAAUUUUGUAGACCAGGCUGGCUUUGAACUCAGCAAUCCACCUGUCAUUGCUGAGCACUGGGAUUAAAGUCAUGUGCCACCAAGCCCAGUUUCAAGCUUUAAUUCUUCAUGUAAAAUAUAUCUCACAUCUGUCUCAGUAGUAUGCAAAUUUAAGCUUUAAUAUACAGGAAAAGUAUAUGUAUACCAAGAAAUCAUUUUAAAAUUAAUUUCUAUAUGAAUAUCAACUUCUAACUUGUGUACUUAUUUUAUAUUCCUAUAUAAUAGGGGCCAUAAAUACGUUCCUUGGGCAAGAAGAGAUCACAAAGUUUACAAAGUCAUGGUCUAGAAGAAUUGGUCAGUGAGAUCAUACAACAAUGAGCCAAUUCAUUUGCUCAGAUUACAUUAUGCUAUAACAGAGAAACCCUAAGAUCUCUUUCUUAGCAUUGCACCAUCUACUAGAGAUCCAGUUGGCUAUCUAUGUGAGAUUUCUUUAAAAAAAAAAUAAAAAGAAAUGGGUGACAUGAGUUCAAUGUUAUUUGAACUAAUAUGUCAAAAACAUUAUCAUUUCAAUUUGUAAUUCAUAUAAUUGCGAUAUAUUUUUGGUUGUCUUUGCAAUCCAAACCAAUGUGUAUUUUGCAUGUCAUCAGACUGGCCUAAUUUCAAGUGCUCAACAGCCAUAGGUGGCUGAUGUUACAGCACUGGAGCUUGAUGGCGAUCCCACCAUGCAUUCUCCAUUCUUGUUCUUGGUUCAGGGUGGAGUUCUAGAUGACUGUAAGCCACCAUGUGGGGAUAGGAAUCAAAUCCAAGUCCUCUACAAGAGCACCGACUACCAAGCCAUAGAUAUUUAAAGAGUAUCCCUGGUUCUGAGUCAGAGACCUGGCUCCUUUCAACUUGUGAAUUUUCAUAUCCUUAGGAGCUCAGAGACUUCCACUUCCAGUCAAUGAAUAGGAAAUGAGAGGGAGAAGAAAGACUAAAAUACCAUUCUUCUUUAAAUAUGUACCAGAAAAUACUUCUGAGGAAAUACCUUAAAGGAACAUGGAUCAUAGAAGGCAGAGCCCCCAACAGCUACUCUUGUUAUCAUUUGACCCUCAACUGGGAUCUGCUUUCAACAAGACUGUCCUACAAGCAUAACAGACUGUCCUGUGAGCAUUUCAGACUGUCCUGUGAGCAUGUUUUGGGGGAAUUUUCUUGAUUGUUAAUUGGUAUUGGAAGGCUCGGCCCACUCUGAGCCAUACAUCCCGAGGCAGGUGGGCCUGGGUGAUAAUUAUGAAGGUAGCAGAACGUGGUUCAGGAGUAAGCCUGUAUGUACCUUUCCUUCAUGCUUCAUGCUGAUGCUUCCACUUGAGUUCCUACCCUCACUCUUUCAAUGAUGGACUGUGAGAUGUAAGUGUGAAGGAAAAAACCAUCUCUGUCCCAAAUUUUCCUUUGGUCAUGGUGUGUAUGACACUAUUAAAAAAGCAAAUUACAAUGGUGUGCAAGGCUGUUUUCACCUUCCUCAGAUAGGAGAAACCCAAGUUAUCUUGAAGUUCCCAGUAACUUAAUCUUGACUUUCUCAGAUGCUGGGCCAUUGGAAAGGAGAGAAAGCUCCCUGGUUGAUGCAGCUCAGGUAUGGCAUCCUGUGUGCAGUCAGCAUUUUCACUAAGGAGGGCAUAUGGGGCCAUGGAAUGAUAACUGUGGAGUGUGUUGAAGUUUAGAUCUGAAACUUACUCACUUAGCAGGAUUGGUCUAUAGAAGUAAUGAACUGGCGAAAUAUUAUGGUAUAACAAAAAUAUCUUCACAGUUUCAUUUCCUAAAUACUGUUUCCAAGUGUAUGAGUUCUUUAUUUGGUAGUUUGGACACAGUUAUUAUAUAAGGCCCAAGAAGGUGCUGAGGUUGGUGGUUGGACUCUCUGGAAUGAUGGCUUAUAUUUAUGUGAAGGUCAAUGUUGUGUGUCUGCUGUGGGCUCUAGCUUCUUCUCAUGCAUCUUUCUUUCUCUUUUUCUGAGCUAACCUGGGAUAAGUCAUUUGAUGGUUGUCAAGAUGCCUGUGGGAGCUGAUCAGCUGGGACUCGUGUCACUUCUUAUGAUCUUGCUUCAGCAUACAUAUCUUUCAAGGCAACAACUCAGUCAUCCUAGUCCAGAAGGUGGGAAGAUACUUUAGAAGAGGUUUGACAACAAACUGGACUAUAGAGAUGGCCAUGACACCCAUUGGUACUAUCAUUUGUGCUGGUAACUGGACCAAGUUGUGCCCAUGGUCGGUUUCAGAAGAGCCUCCAAUUUCUACCCACCACUCAGGACCCACUUACUCCCAUGAAAGGAUGAAACACUUUUGGUGGAAAUUUCCUUUGUUCCUGGAAACAAAGCUAAGUGCACAUACUAAUGCAAGAAGUAAGAGGUCUACAGGGGUGAGUCAACAAGACAGUUAAAAUAUUUGAUCAAGAGUGAGAUGGCAAAUAUCACUGUGGUAAGGGAAAACACCCACUCAAACAGUGUACUACUAUUUCUGCAUGUCACUACCUACCUCCACAAGUGUGCUACUAUUUCUGCAUGAUGUCAUGGUGCUGACUGAACAUUGGAGAAUGAAGGUCUACAUCUUAGAUUUUAGAUUGUCUAAGAUAUAUGACCCAGGAGGGUUGAAGGUCAUAUAUCCUUCACAGAAUGGUACUAUUUUAGUAGAAAAACAAAAUGUUCAACAAUGUAGUAAAGCUAAAGUUCAAUUUAGUUUACCAAUGUUCUUUAAAUCACAGUCAUUAUAACGUAAGAUACUGCUAUCUGGAAGAACAGAAAUGGUGCUGUCUACUUAGACUAGACAGAGAUUGCAGGAGGGCAAGUGCACUGUGGGUCAAUACCCAGGAUAAAUUUGGGCCAAAAGGCUAGGGCAAGAACAGGGCUCAUUUCUGGGACUGGCAUGCCCAGUGACAUCCACAGCUGUGGGGUCACACCGCCAAGGUCUCCUGGGCAGGAGUGGGACCUUAGCAUCCCAGGCUCAUGAGCUAUCUACUGGGCUGAGCAACCUGAACUCUGACCUUUACCCCUGGACAAGUGUUCUAGACCCAGGUAUUGCCUAAGUUUGAGCUGCCUACGGACUGAGAUCGGCAGAUCAAAAUAGCACUCACAAACCCUCUAGACUGGUUCUGCUGCCACAGGAUUGACAUUCCGAAUGAAACAUUACACUGUGAGAUUAUUACAGAAAGGACACUAUGCAAUAAACUUGUGUAUUUACUAUUUUUAAUAAUUUAAAAAUAA
rnacentral:sRNA from 1 species